rnacentral:lncRNA from 1 species
GGAAACCCAAGCCGCAGUCCGCUUGCUGUUUGCCUGCCGGCCUGCAGCCUUGGACGGCUGUGAAAAACUUGUGGCCCUGAGAAGGAGGCCUCCAGAGAAGCUGGGUCUCUGGGGAACGCUUACCGGGUGGUGCGGCCUCAUCUCAGGUUGCGGCCCAUGGAGGAAGCCAAAGCUGCUUUGAAGAGUUUCGUGGUGACAGCCGUGGGCUUAAAAGUGAUAUUUGAUCACUUAGGUCCCUCAGAAGUUCUACAUCGGGUGCAGAAUUUUCAAAAGGAAGGGGUUUGGGAGCGGCAGUCUGAUGGAAAACUGAACCCGAGGACAGGAGCUCUGUUUGCACAGCAGUGUUUUUAUUUUUAUUUGGAUAUUUUGUGGGGAAGAGGGAGCAGUCUUUCCAGCUACUCCAUGGCAUCCAUCAAUGCAAGAGUUGAACUGACAGUCUCCUGGUGAGAAUUGAUUCCGCCAAAUCCUGUCUCUUCUUCAUCUCUAGGAAAAGGAGGAAUACAACUUUUGCCUUUGAAAAGUUUUUAAAACUGCUAAUGAAGAAAACCUGUAACAACAGUAGUAUCAACUUAGAAAAAAUGCACAACAUAAGAGUUGCGAGUUAAGUUUUAUUUGAAGCAAAAUGAGGACUUUAGCGCCAGAAGACAGCACCUCAGGCAGCUCUAAGAAACUGUCCCAAAGAGACGGGGGGAAGGUCAGUGUAUAUGUGAUUUUGGUGAACAGGGAAUACAUGUCAUCAAGCAUAUAUUUUUUCAGAUGGUUUCUGCUAGUGUUGUGAAGCUUUUAGUCAUGAGGAAAAGUCAUCACCUUGAAGGAGUUAGUGCCUUUGUAUAUAUGAGAUGAUGAAAGAACUGGACUCAUAAAAUUGGCUCGUGAAAAUAUCUAUCUGAAGACCUGUGCUGCCAGUUUUCGCCACUGCCCCUUCCCAGCAGCAUGUGACUUAAAUAUUACAGAGGUAGAUGGCAAGUGCCGAUUUGUGGUUGACAGCAGUAGUAGUAAAUCUUACAUAGCACUUUAUAUGCCAAAGCACUGUUCUAAAUUUCUUGUAUAUAUCAACUCAUUUAAUCCUCAUAACAGUCCUAGGAGAUGGAUACUAUUAUCAUCAGCUUGUUGCCCUUUUAUGACUGAGAAAACAGAGACAGACUAAGGUUAUACAGCCAGUAAACCACAGAACUGAGAUUCAAACCAGGUCAGCUAGCUGUAAUCUUUUAUUGUUUAUUAAACAUUCAAAAUAGACACUGCCAGACAAUCUUCAAAACCCACAUAUCACUUGGUACUUUUUAAACAGAGCGAUGGCCCUGUUACCACUGUUUCUUUCAGCUGUUUGCAGUGCC